AUCGGGGGAUGGUGCAAGUUCCCUCCUUGUCUUCAGGCCUCAAGUACAACACGAAAGUUACUUUAGAACCAGCUCCCUUCGGACUCUGAAGACAGGCCCCGUUCUCCAGCAUCCGAGAGAGCCGAGCUCUCCUGGGGAUGGAGCUGCCCACCUGUCUCACUUCAUCGCAGAGGAGGACAAAGACCAGGGCAUAAAGGAUGAGCUCCGGUGUGUGAGGCACGGAGUGGAAAUCCAUGAGUAGCACGUAGGCGAAGAGCAGCAGGAAGGCGAUGUAGAAGACCACAUUCCAGGAGAAGACCACGAAUGGCGAGGUGAAGAAAGCCAGGGUGUCAGAAAAGCCCUUGGGAUCAAGCUGGCUACUCUACCCAUCUCACACCUGGAGCUCGAUAUCCAGAUCCUCCCUGCUGCUCCUAUCUUCCUUCCUGUACCCUCUUCGGAAGUUUGCCACCAGCUUCCAGACAAAGGGGGGAAGGCAGAGCAAUUGGGGUUAAGUGACUUGCCC